CUGGGGUCCAGCGGGAGGGAGGGCUGUGUCUGGUCUGACCACCUCCCCCCCCCCUUGAAAUAAAGGAGGAGCUGAAGCACUUUGAGGCCAAGGUGGAGAAGCACCUGCACUUCCAGAAGCAGCUGGAGAUCUCGCACCAGAAGCUGAAGCACGUGGAAGGGACCGGGGACGAGGAACACCUCAGCCGCCACCAGGAGAAGCACGCCAUGCUGCAGGAGAAGACCAAGGACCUCGGGUACAAGGUCAAGAAGCACCUUCAGGACAUCUCUGGCAGGAUCUCUCGAGGCCUUCAGCACAAUGAACUUUGAGGCGUCCUUGCUGCUGCCUUUGGACUUUUGCACAUGGGUCGAAAUCAGGCGUGGAGUCUCUCCGGAGAUCGAGGUCGUUGGUGGAAGUCUCAAGGCCUCCUCCGCUGCCCUUUCCUCCUUCUCCGUCCCUGUUGAGACUUUGGCGCGUCGGGAGAAGGGCUGCUCCGCUGGUUUCUCUCCAUGCUGGGCUAGAUGUGCUGCAGAAGGGGGGCCUUUGAAGUGGGGCAACUGGGAGGAACUGGGAGGGGGCGGGUGGGCAGCCUCUGAACUGUUUCGCCAUAGGUGCCCAACAGAAAGGGGAUUUCUGAUUGCGUUGAUCCUGAGUGUUCACCCUCUCCGGUUGAAUAAAGGACACAAGUGGGACCAGA